CGUAGGCUGCAACUCGCCUACAUGAAGUCGGAAUCGCUAGUAAUCGCGGAUCAGCAUGCCGCGGUGAAUACGUUCCCGGGCCUUGUACACACCGCCCGUCACACCAUGAGAGUUUGUAACACCCAAAGCCGGUGGGGUAACCUUUUGGAGCCAGCCGUCUAAGGUGGGACAGAUGAUUGGGGUGAAGUCGUAACAAGGUAAC
rnacentral:rRNA from 1 species